rnacentral:lncRNA from 1 species
AUGUCCAUCAAACCCGACAGCCAAUCAAAGCCCGUCCUUCGUGCUUGGAGGGCGGGGCGCGGGCGCCAUGUUGGGGCGGGAGCCAUUUUGGCUGCGCCCCUCAGGGCGUUUCGAUGGACGCGGUAUGGGGCGAUACGGGGCGAUACGGGGCGAUACGGGGCGAUAUGGGGCGAUACGGGGUGCGGGAUCCCCCCGUCCUUCGGUGCUUUUGUCCCGCAGGGCCUGCAGGAGAGAACGGCGGAGCUGCUGAGGAGGAGUGAAGCUGUGCUGAAUCAGCGCCCUCGGCCCCCCCGGCUCCACCCAGCCCCGCCCACUCGUGGGCGUGGCCAACCCGGAGGUGGGCGGAGCCUGGAUGCCGACCCGCUGCAGCAAUGGAGGGCCGGCAGGAGGCGGGGCUUAGCGGAAGCCCCGCCCCCUGCGACGUCGGCACGGAGGCGGAGCCAAUCGCUGGAUGCGUGGAGAGGGGCGGAGCCACGGCAGGACAGGGACCAAUCGGAUGGCGCGGACCUCCCUCCCUCGCUAUGGGGCAGCGCUGUGGGGCAGAAAGCGGCCGCCGUCGAACUGCUGCAGGAAGCAAUGGGUGAGAAGAGCGAGCACUUGUGGGGCAGCCCCACACUUAGGGGGCAGAGCCACACUUAUGGGGCAGCCCCACUCUUAGGGGUCAGCCCCACACUUAUGGGUCAGCCCCACACUUAUAGGGUCAGCCCCACACUUAUAGGGUCAGCCCCCCACUUAUGGGUCAGCCCCACACUUAUAGGGUCAGCCCCACACUUAUGGGGCAGCCCCACACUUAUGGGUCAGCGCACUUAUGGGGCAGAGGCACACUUAGGAGUCAGACCCACCACUUAUGGGUCAGCCCCACACUUAUGGGUCAGCCCCACACUUAUGGGGCAGCCCCACACUUAUGGGGCAGAGCCACACUUAGGGGUCAGCCCCACACUUAUGGGGCAGAGCCACACUUAAGGGUCAGCCCCCCACUUAUGGGGCAGCCCCCCACUUAUGGGGCAGAGCCACACUUAUGGGAUUCCAUCCCCCACUUAGGGGUCAGCCCCCCACUUAUGGGUCAGCCCCCCACUUAUGGGGCAUCCCCACACUUAGGGGUCAGCCCCACACUUAUGGGGCAGAGCCACGCUUAUGGGGUUCCACCCCACACUUAUGGGUCAGCCCCCCACUUAUGGGGCAGCCCCACACUUAUGGGUCAGCGCACUUAUGGGGCAGAGCCACAUUUAGGGUCAGCCCCACACUUAGGGGUCAGCCCCACACUUAUGGGGCAGAGCCACACUUAUGGGAUUCCAUCCCACACUUAUGGGGCAGCCCCCCACUUAGGGGUCAGCCCCACACUUAUGGGGCAGAGUCACGCUUAUGGGGUUCCACCCAACGCUUAUGGGUCAGCCCCCCACUUAUGGGGAAGACCCACACUUAGGUUCAGCCCCACACUUAUGGGGCAGCCCCCCGUUUACUGCCGCCCCAUUUCUCUGCCCCACAG